AUACGGAGGAUGCGAGCGUUAUCCGGAUUUAUUGGGUUUAAAGGGUGCGUAGGUGGUAGAUUAAGUCAGCGGUGAAAGUUUGUCGCUCAACGAUAAAAUUGCCGUUGAUACUGGUUUACUUGAGUAUAGUUGAAGUAGGCGGAAUGCGUGGUGUAGCGGUGAAAUGCAUAGAUAUCACGCAGAACUCCGAUUGCGAAGGCAGCUUACUAAGUUAUAACUGACACUGAAGCACGAAAGCGUGGGUAUCAAACAGGAUUAGAUACCCUGGUAGUCCACGCAGUAAACGAUGAAUACUUGUUUUCGGCGAUAUAAUGUCGGAGGCAAAGCGAAAGCGAUAAGUAUUCCACCUGGGGAGUACGCCGGCAACGGUGAAACUUAAAGGAAUUGGCGGGG
rnacentral:rRNA from 1 species